rnacentral:rRNA from 1 species
GUGUCAGCCGCCGCGGUAAUACGUAGGGUGCGAGCGUUAAUCGGAAUUACUGGGCGUAAAGCGUGCGCAGGCGGUUCUACAAGCUGGGUGUGAAAGCCCCGGGCUCAACCUGGGAGGUGCAUUCAGGACUGUGGAGCUCGAGUGCGGCAGAGGGAGGUGGAAUUCCAGGUGUAGCAGUGAAAUGCGUAGAGAUCUGGAGGAACACCGAUGGCGAAGGCAGCCUCCUGGGCCGACACUGACGCUCAUGCACGAAAGCGUGGGGAGCAAACAGGAUUAGAUACCCUGGUAGUCCACGCCCUAAACGAUGUCGACUGGUUGUUGGGGAAGGCAACUUUCUUAGUAACGAAGCUAACGCGUGAAGUCGACCGCCUGGGGAGUACGGCCGCAAGGUUAAA